rnacentral:rRNA from 1 species
UACGGAGGGGGCUAGCGUUGUUCGGAAUUACUGGGCGUAAAGCGCACGUAGGCGGACCAGCAAGUUGGGGGUGAAAUCCCGGGGCUCAACCCCGGAACUGCCUUCAAAACUGCGGGUCUGGAGGUCGAGAGAGGGAAGUGGAAUUCCCGGUGUAGUGGUGAAAUGCGUAGAUAUCGGGAGGAACACCAGUGGCGAAGGCGACUUCCUGGCCCGUUCUUGACGCUGAGGCGCGAAAGCUAGGGGAGCAAACGGG